UCAUCCACAAAAUCUAUAAAAAUAUCUUCUUCAUCAAAUAGGAAUGUUAUUACAUCGCAAAAAUGGAUGCUGAAGAAAUCAUAACCUCAGGGUAAGAGGAAGAUCCUUGCAGGUGUGACACUGAAGAAAUCGUAAUCUCAAACAAAUUCAACAAAUCAAAAUGCUUUCAAUGGAGAUUUGAUUUGUAUCAGGACCUUAUCAAUCAGCAACAUCAUAGAUGUUAGGAUCGGACUUCAGACGUAUAGGUACGAAAAAAAUCAGACGGACUAACCCAAAAUCUUCAGACUGAGUGCGGACGCAGACAAGACCGACCCAUUUGACAUCCUAUCCAGACACAAGCACAAGAUACUUUCGAAGAGAUCGCAUGCCUCUGUACUUAUGUGACAGACUUAUCUUUGUUCGAAAUCUGAAGCAUGCUACCCAAAGAAUUGACAGAUUUCAAAGGCAUAAGAGGAGAUUCACAAUGGUCAACCACCUGAAACAUUUCAUGGUGGAUUUUGGAACAUCCAUUUCUGUUUCCAACACAUUCUUGAAAGACCAUGACUGUAACUCCGGUUUUGCAUACAAAAUGGACAUCGGAAAAAACAAGUCUCCGGGACAAAGAUCAAGUGAUCAAAAGAAGUUAUCAUUUCACAACUUAUAAAAGAUACACUUCAUAUAUUCACGCAACUUAAAAGCUUACAGAUACUAAGAACACAACGCAAGAGAAAAACUGG